UACGGAGGGUGCUAGCGUUGUUCGGAAUUACUGGGUUUAAAGGGUGCGUAGGCGGAUUUGUAAGUCCGAAGUGAAAUCUCCGAGCUUAACUCGGAAACUGCCUUGGAUACUAUAAGUCUUGAAUGACGUUGAGGUUAGCGGAAUAUGUCAUGUAGCGGUGAAAUGCUUAGAUAUGACAUAGAACAUCGAUUGCGAAGGCAGCUAACUAAGCGUAUAUUGACGCUGAUGCACGAAAGCGUGGGGAGCAAACAGG
rnacentral:rRNA from 1 species